rnacentral:rRNA from 1 species
CCUACGGGGGGCAGCAGUGAGGAAUAUUGGUCAAUGGGAGAGAUCCUGAACCAGCCAAGCCGCGUGAGGGAAGACGGCCCUAUGGGUUGUAAACCUCUUUUGUCGGAGAACAAAACCCGGGACGUGUCCCGGACUGCGUGUAUCCGAAGAAAAAGCAUCGGCUAACUCCGUGCCAGCAGCCGCGGGAAUACGUAGGGGGCAAGCGUUAUCCGGAUUUACUGGGUGUAAAGGGGGGGCAGGCGGCAGCGCAAGCCAGGUGUGAAAGCCCGGGGCCCAACCCCGGGACUGCUCUUGGAACUGCGCGGCUGGAGUGCAGGAGGGGCAGGCGGAAUUCCUGGUGUAGCGGUGAAAUGCGUAGAUAUCAGGAGGAACACCGGUGGCGAAGGCGGCCUGCUGGACUGCGACUGACGUUGAGGCCCGAAAGCGUGGGGAGCGAACAGGAUUAGAUACCCGGGUAGUC